UGAACUACUGUGCGGUCCCAAGUCAUAC
rnacentral:sRNA from 1 species